GCACAUCCGCUCCCUCCUCUCUCUCUCUCUCUCUCUCGGUCUCUCCACUCCUCUGCCCCCUCUCUCCUCUCAUCAACCCUCCCCGAUGGAAGACAAAAAUCCCACAUCGGAAACGGAGCCCGACGCCCAAACCCACAAAAAGCACCUCGCCAUGCUCGACCGCCUCGCCAACCUCCACCAAACCCGCUCCUCAACCCGCAACCAGUCCAAACCCGAACCCGGUUCCCUCUCGUCCUUCCUCUCCCUCUUCUCCUCCACCAAGCUCUCCAUCGAAUCGGAUCUCACCCGCCUUCUCUCCUCCGACUCCAAACCCGAUCCCGCUGUCGCCAAACCGGACCUCGACAAAAUAUCUACUUCAAUCUCGGAUCUCGAGCGGGUCCUCGCCCAAAACUCUUACUUUCUCCCCUCUUACGAGCUCCGGUCCUCUCUCAAAUCGAUUUCCGAUCUCAAAGGAGCCCUAGAAAAAGCCAGCUCCGAAUUAAUCCCCAGAAAGAAGUUCUCUUUCAAAAAUAAAUCGGCGCUAAGGAAAGACCCCGCGGAAUUAUUCAAACAGAGCGAAGAAAAACCCCAAUCCGACGCGAAUCUUCCGACAAAAGAGAUUAAGAGUUCGCCGGGGAUUAGGAGCAAGAAAGGUGCAGUUUUGGUUAAGAAUUUUAGGGUUUUGGACGAAGGAAAUGGGGAGUUCACGUUGUCCGAUCUUGAUUCAUGUGAAGUUUACAUAAAGGGGAGAAUUAGGGCAUUGUUUAUUAAUAGGCUUACGAACUGUAGGGUGUUUUGUGGGCCGGUGCUCGGAUCGAUCUUGAUCGAAGAAGUGAGAGGAUGUUUGUUUGUGCUGGCUUCUCAUCAGAUCAGGAUUCAUCAAGCGAAGGAGACUGAUUUUUAUCUUAGGGUUCGGAGCCGGCCGAUUAUUGAAGAUUGUGGUGGGGUCAGAUUUGGUCCUUAUCGGUUUUCCUAUGAAGGGGUUGAUGACGAGUUGAGGGAGUCGAGGCUUGAUGAGGAGACGGGGAACUGGGGCAAUGUGGAUGAUUUUAAGUGGCUGAGAGCAGUGCAAUCCCCGAAUUGGUGUUUGAUUCCUGAAGAAGAAUGGGUAGAUACGGUGAAUGCUUCGGAACUGGAGGAGAAUUUUGAUGAUUGUUAGUUCAGCAUUGUUUUUAGGACCAGAUCUAUGAAUUACAGAUUUGGGAAUGGCUGGGGCAAAAGUUCAUGGUUUAGGAUGGAAUAAUGGCUAUCCAGAUGCUGCAGAGAAAAAAAGACGAAUCUCAUGACACAUAUCUGUCUGCAACACAACCUUAUAUGCGUCAUACGAAAGAAUUCUAAAAUCAUCGCCAUGUGCAGCAGCUUCUUGACUUAAAAGAGGACUCCGGAGAGAUGUGGAAUCGGUGGACAAGCAUUGAUUCUUGAGUAGCAGUCAUCAUAUAUUCUCCACUAUGGUAAGAGGUGGGGAGGAGUACAUAGGAAUAUACAAUUUUAUGUCCUGAUUCCUUUCACAACCCCUGUGGCAUGUUGCACGUCUUAAGUUCAGGGAGGGGAAAGGAAGUCUUUUACCGUGUAUUCAGCCCUCAGGGUUUUUACCGUGUCGUGCGUGUGCCAUUGCUCUUAUGGUAGGUAAGUGCAAAAUACGAAAAACUUUGACGUAUAUAAAUACUAACCUACGGUGGUGGUACUACGCAUGAUGUAUUGUUUCUGACUGGUCUAAUGCUAGUGAUGAAGUAUUUAAACAGCAACCCCACAUUUAUUCCCCCGUAACAUCCUGUUGUCCACCGUAAAGGAACCAAACCUUCCUACAUAAACCUAAGCUAGUCCUCUUCAGGAGAGAACAAAGCCCCAAAUGGA